AGGAAGAAAAGGCGUUGGGUGCUCGAUUUUAUCAUGGUUCUUGCGUGAUUGAAAACAGGCUGUACGCUUUAGACGAUGAUGAUGGAAUCGUUGUGUAUGAUCCUACUCAGAGGGCUUGGAGCGUCUUAAAGGUCCUCAACUUACCUGAGCUCAAAGUUUUGUCGACUAAGUUGGUAAAUUACGGUGGGAAUUUACUCAUCGUUCACAACCUUGUCGCUAAAUCAAUAUGGUGCACGGAGAUCGCAUUAAAAAACCGAGAAGGAAACAUGUGGGGUGACAUAGUCACCUCGAAUGAAGCACAUCAUGUCACGAAUGCCUGGGAUACGGUGAUUGAUAACUGUCAGGUUAUAGAGAUUUAAGCCUGUUCCGUACGUAUGUCCAUGCCUAGUAUUAAGUAUUUGCUGCUUCGUUAUAAUUUAAUGUAAGUAUAUGGUAAAGCUAACGAAAUAAAAGGUGUAUGCAUUGCAUUAAUUAUAUUAUAAAUAAAUGAUAAAGCUAAUGAAAUAAAAGGUGUAUGCAUUGCAUUAUAUUAAUGUCUCUCUGUUAAAUUAUGCACUACUAUAAUUUCACCAAGUUUAGCAAAUUUCGAGACAUCAUAUUUGCAGUUACAUCUACUUCGCUCACAUUUCCUAAUUUAAAAGAAUACAAAGCAAAAGAAAAAAAUGUACGAACAUGAUCUAUCAAAUCCCAUUUUUAUGUCAUUAUAGACUUUAGUUGCGGGUAAUAUAUCAUUUACAUGUAUAUUCGAGACUCUUAUAAAACAUGUGAAAAUAUCAGUAUUUUAACGUUACUUUCAUGGACACACUUAGGAAAAGCUAAUAGAUGACCAAUCACGACAUUUAUCAGCGUAGUACCAACUCCGAGGUUUCAACAACGAAAGCAAAGAAAUUAUUUGUGGAAUUGGGUCAUAAUCUAAGAAGAACAUGGAAAUUAGGAAAAUACCCAAGAUAGAAUUUAUGUUGGCCUUCGAAAUAGAGCAGAAGGUUGAAAAGACCGAACAGUCCUUCUUCCGUUUAGGCUUCUAAUUUGUGUAGGCUAAAUAUAGGCCCUGUUCGGAAACUCGCUAGGCGCUACGCGUGCGGCACACCCGGGCCUAGCGAUUUAUUGAAAAAGCGGAAAAAAAUCGGAGAGUACGCGGGGCAGAAUUUUUUUGUAUUUUUAUACAUAUAAUACCAUAUUUUUAUACAUAAAAUUAACAUUUUAAAAUGCAGUCGUUAUAUAAUAUGGUUUCACAAUUGUACAGAUAAUUUACGUAGCCAAAGUAGUUUUUGAUGCAUUGUAAAUUGAAGAAGUGAAAGGUUUGAUCAUUUUAAAAUCAGAUCAAUAAAAAAAAUUAUCUUCUAAAGGUCUUAUAUUUAUACGUUUAUAAGUGUACAAUGAUUCUCUAUAGCGUAAUUGGUAAGUAUGCAUUGGAAAUGUCGACCUGGACAGGGUUCGACGCCCACUGUAUACUGUUAUGUUACUUUUACGCAUUUAUUUAGUAAGGGUAAAAUCGUAAUUUUGCGUUCGUCUUCUCCCCAGACCUAUUUUUUUUUUGUUUGCGGCCGCCAUUGUUUCCACUCGAGGUUUUGACGACUUCAUCAUAUAAUCAAAUAGAUUUAGCAUUUGCAUUGUAAAACAAAUACUAAUCACGUGUUUCCACUCCAAAAUUAACAAAAUAUGAGCUUUUUCUAGUGUUUACAUGAUUUGGACAAAGCUGGGUUUUAUCAAUUCGACGUCCGCGUUUUCUUAUUCUAUGCUCUAGUCGGAAAUUCCGCGUGUUACUGUACAAUACAACCGAAUCAAGCAUAAUUGCCACGUUCAUCAUCCGUAGAGCGUGUAGGCGGCCGCAAAAUCGGUAACGCGGCCGCGUUUUUGAACAGAGUAUAUAGGUUAUGCGGGUAUUAAAUAUAAUUGGAGGGGUUAGUAAUGAUUAGUCUAGGUAUUUUCCCAUAACUUGUUACGUGAGGGUGGCUAGACCAAUUUGGGCCAAUGAAUGUUGUACGUGUUCUGACACAAGUGUUCUGACACAAGCGGUGACGGAAGAGGUGUAUGGAAAGUCGGUGGAAUCAUGCUGGGAUCUUAAUAUUUGUCUUAUGUACUAGUACUGCAAAAAAAAAAAAAAUACUAGUUCUGCUUUUCUCAGCUUGAAGGUGUGUAGGAGUUAUGGAUGUCUCGAUAUGUUAUAAUAAAUAAAAAAUGACCUUUUUAUAUUUAACGUAACGUGUCUUAUAAUUUAUUGACCUGUUAAAUAUAUAUAUAUAUUUUUUAACGACCUGUUAAAUACAUUUAUUUAUCCUUUAAUAUAUAAUGUUGCCAGUGUAACCAUUGGCAGUAUAGUAUACAUUGUGUCUGUAAUACCCAAAACUGAAGCCCAAAAAGUUUUUGUGUUUUAAAAGGAAAUGCUCAUUCUGCAGUCCAUUAGGAUUAAAACCCUAGGGUUUCCUUGCCUUUUCCUAUAAAUACAAGCCUCUACCUCCUUUGUCUCUCAUCAGAAAUUCCAGAGCGAAGCUCUGCAGAAAAAUCCCAAGACAGGAAGCCCUAGCCGUCGACGAUCUCUCUCUCUCUCUCCCCGCGCUGCCUCUCCCUCUUUUCUCUCUCCUCACCGCAUCUCUCUCCCCUCUCUCUCUCCUCGCCGUGAGCAGCCGCGAGUGGUGGUGGUGGCCGCUUGGUGUUGUAGAUCUCAGAUCCCGUUUCUCUCACCUCUUAUUUUUAGAUCCAGAUCCAGAUCUAGGCUAAGGUGAGGUGUUCUAUUCCAGAUCUUGUUCAUGAUCUUUUAUAUUGUUGAAUGAGGAAUUAGGAUGGUUUAGAUCCUGAUUGAUGUUAGGGUGAUAGAUCAUACUGCAUAAGAACGCUCAUACUGAUUAAGGACAGUAAAUGGAUUGUUUGUGUUGAUUGAAUGAUGAAUGAUUGAUUGGUUGAUGAUCUAUUUCUGUUUGCGGUUGAAAGCUAGGAUGCUUAGAAAGAAUUAAAAGUAGGUUGAUAGUAAACGUUAACCGGUUGAUUAGAUGAAUGAUAGGACAUCCGUGAAAUGGUUGUUUACUGAAUUGAGUGUGACACGGAGAACGGGUGGCGUCUAAAAAGGAAAGUAUGAAAGAGUCUAAAGAAAUGAUAGGAAAAAGGAAAUGAUAAGAAAAAGGAAAUGAUUAAGGAAAGAAAGAAAGAAGAAUGAAUGAUUAGUAAAUUACCCGGGAAGGGUGGGAUAAAAUACCCGGGGAGGGUGGAAAGAAAGAUAACGCGGCGGUCGUAGCGUUCAAAAACGGCGGAGAUGCGGGGCCAUAGCAUCGGAUAAAAAUGGAAGGGUAAGAAUAGAGGCGCCGGUAAGAUUGAGUCACGCCGAGUUUUGGCGGGAAGGGGUCGUAAUACACUGCAAAGGCGGUCCGUACCCGAGGAACUGGGCGAUGGGCCUACCAGGGCAGGCGACUUCACAGGAAGCAGCAAGAAAAGGGGAGGAAUGGUCCGCUUGAGCUGUGUAGGUCCUAAAGUCCCAUUGGGAGUCUUAAAUAAUAAACUGAAUUCUAUGAUCUGAGUGAUGACUGAGUUCAUUACAGUGCUUGAUGUGUGAAAUGAAACUUAAUAACUAGCUGAUAGGUUGCAUCGACUGAGUGUAGUGACUAGACGGUUCUCGUUUCGCAUUGAGCCGUAUAGAGGCUCAUGGGGGAGACUGGUCUAGAAUCGCUUCACUGAGUAUUAAUACUCACCCCUCUUUUCUCUCUCCCAUUUUUACAGAACUAUAAGUGGAAAUGUCAACGGUGAGGAAGGAAAUGCACCUGAAACUCAUGGGACCAGAAACGGAACACACGGAGAUGUCGGGAAAAUAGACAUGUGUGUCCUAAACCCCGCGCCCUGGAACCCCGGUCGGAAAUGGGGAAGGGGCGGGUGUUUCAAUUGGUAUCAGAGCCAGGUUAAGGUCCCUUAAUACUAACUUAAGGGAUCAGCGUUUCCGCCAUUGUUCAUUUUUCCUUUAUGGUUCUGUUGGACCCGUUGUAGUCAGUGUUGAAAGAGAAUUCGAACAGUUCAGAGUCUUCGUCCGAGAUCAGAACAACAAAAAUUCCUCGAACCGCGGUGUGGAAGAGUUUUAGAGGCCCAGGAAGGGAUUAACAAGGAAUUCUAGGACAAGUGCACAGAGGGGUCAGUUGCCUAGCACGACAUGCUAAGGAGGAAUGGAAGAUCGGACAUACUAGCUUGAGAUGAUACGUCUAGCCGACAUCACCACCCCACGCCGGCCCGGGAAGGUUAGGGGACGAGGAUCAAACACAAGGUCGAGGUGUGCGCCGCUUCACGGAAGAGACAUCUCUACAGGAAAUAGCGAUGCAUCGCUCUGACAUUACAGUCAAGCUCGUUUCCUAUAUAUAAAAAAAAAUGGAAAAAGGCGCCAAGUACUGAGCAAGGGAGAAAUGCUAGUGUGGACUCUUCCAACAUCAGCAAGGUCAAAACUGAAGGCGACAUGGAGGCUGGGAAAAAGGAGCGGGCACGACAUGGAGUAGCACUCCGAUUUGGGAAGAUGACCCUAGAGUAAUUGGCUAAGCAGAUGAAAACUAUAAGGGAAAACAAAGGGUCUCAACUCUAAUAUCAAGGAUUCAAGUCCUUAAGGAUAGGCAUGGUGAGAGUUUUAUUGGUAAUAAACUACACAAUGACUAAGGAUGAAGUAGCUAAAGGAAGGAGCUUCUCGAAGUCGCAACGAGGAGGACCAACUCCGGUUUACAGGGAGUAAACUAAGUAUCAUCUUACGGUAAAAUGGUUGAUGGUAAUAAGGAUCAUUGUGGGGUAAGAAAGAUCGUCUUGGGGUAAAAAGGAUGAUGGAGUAUCACCAUGUAACAAAAAGGUUAAUGCUAACAAGGACUAGGAGGGAAUGAAGUUCGUGGAGCAGCCGAACGUCCACAUCCGGAGACAACCAUGAGUCGUCAAGUGCUGAUGCCCCAGUUCCAGAGAUCUGCAGAGUGUAGGCGGAUGUACCAAGGCCAUGUGAUCUUCCAGUUCACGCCUGAAGUCGAAAUGACGCUGCCCAAGAUGGGCUGUUGGCACCCAAGGAAGUCAGGAUUGACCGGGAAGGUCUUGGACCGUUUAGGAUGGAAGACAGUGUGCCAACGAGGAAACGUGCACGUCCGAGGAAGAUUCCUAGUAUUGAAGCAGACCGCCUAAGGAGCGUAACCGGGGUAUGUCGGUGUGAAAAACUUAUGCAGGCUAAUCAAGGAACACACUCAGUUUGGGAGUACAUCGAGGAAUUCUUGGAGACAACCAAAAGAUGCAAGCCAAAUUCAGCGGAUGAUUGGUGCCGAGGGAUUAAGGUAGGGCUCCGCGAGGAAAUUCAGGGCAAGCUGCUUGGUGUGUUGGAACCAUGGGAAUUCGUUCUGAUGAACUAGAUAGCCGGUCAGGCAGUGGAGGCAGAAAGGGCACUUACCAUUAGGGUCGUCGCCAUCUCGAGCUCUAAGGAAGAAGUGGAAGUGGAAGAGGAUCUGCGGAAGAGAUUGAUUAUGGAUGAAAGAACCUCGGGAGAAUGUACCGAGCCGUGCAAGUGUGAGAUCCUUGUUCAGAUAGUGCAUAAGCCUCGCCUGGUCCAAGAGUACACUAAGGAGUUCUUAGACAUGGCCGAGAAAUGCAAGUCGAAGCCUGCGGAGGGGUAGUGCCGGGUUAUAAGGCGAGACUCCGUAGAAACAUUCAAGGAGAGCUGAAUGGAGCCAUGAAAUCUAUGGAAUUUGCCUUAGUGGUGAGGAUGAUAGGGAAGGCGAUGGCAGCAAAAAUGUGGUUGUUAAACAUGUUAUUUAUGUCACAAGUGCUGAACCGAAAGAGGAUCCAUCGGAAGAUUAACAAUAUGGGGAUUAUCUGGAACCGUCAGCUAGAGGUGUCCGAGUGUUUGGUUAUGAUUCAAGGCAGAAACGCACUUCUUCACUUUGUAGAGACUAGAUAAGAUUUUGGAAACAUCCCGUAUGAGUAGGAAUUAUGUUCUUCCUUAUUUAUUUGGGAGAUUUCGAAAGAAGAUCCUUAAGAAAAUAUUGUGUGCCUCCCUUGAAUGUGUUUGAACUCACCUCGGGUUUUGGGAUGUUAGUGUUCAAAGCCUGAAGAUUGGAAUUCGGGGCGAAUUCCAAUUAACAGGGGGAGAAUUGUAAUACCCCAAAACUCAAGCCCAAAAAGUUUUUGUGUUUUAAAAGGGAAGGCCCGUUCUGCAGCCCAUUAGGAUUAAAACCCUAGGGUUUUCUUGCCUUUUCCUAUAAAUACAAGCCUCUACCUCCCUUGUCUCUCAUCAGAAAUUCCAGAACGAAGCUCUGCAGAAAAAUCCCGGAGACAGGAAGCCCUAGCCGUCGACGAUCUCUCUCUCUCUCUCCCCGUGCUGCCUCUCCCUCUUUUCUCUCUCCUCACCGCAUCUCUCUCCCCUCUCUCUCUCUCCUCGCCGUGAGCAGCCGCGAGUGGUGGUGGUGGCCGCUUGGUGUUGUAGAUCUCAGAUCCCGUUUCUCUCACCUCUUAUUUUUAGAUCCAGAUCCAGAUCUAGGCUAAGAACUAUAAGUGGAAAUGUCAACGGUGAGGAAGAAAAUGCACAUGAAACUCAUGGGACCAGAAACGGGACACACGGAGAUGUCGGUAAAAUAGAUAUGUGUGUCUUAAACCCCGCGUCCUGGAACCCCAGUCGGAAAUGGGGAAGGGGCGGGUGUUUCAGUGUCCAUUGUAUUUCAGCAAACAAGAGUUGACUAAGUGAGGUGGAUUUGAGUUUUGUCAACAUACCGAGUUAUAUCAGUUUGUUCAAGUUUACAAGAUCAAUAUAUUUCAGACUAGGACCGGCCCGCGGGAUGUAAUUUUAAAUAAUUAAAACAGUUACAUUAUAGGUUUAAUAUAUAUUCUUAUAUAUGAAACUUUACAUAUUAGUUUAAUUCUGUACAUGUUAUUGUACGUGGAGACUAAAUAAACCAUGUUAUUUGUAUAUAUUAUUAUUGUUUGCAUAUAAUUAUGUAUUAUUUUUGAAUCAAUGAGUAGAUCGCAGGAAAAAAAUCUUAGGGGUUUCUUACUUUUUUUCUUUUUUUCUGUAUAUAUUAUGUAUUAAACCUUAAUAAUGAAUAUAAAUUAAUAUACAUCGCUUUUACAUCAGAAUAUGGGAAGAAUACAUUUUAACCUAACAAUAUUUUGGAUGUACAAUUUUGUUAUUUGUUUUUUUUUUAACUAUCACUGUUAUAUUUAUGUGUAUCUAGUUAUGUUAGAAUAAUUAAUACUAUUUGGAUUAUAUUUUAUGGGGCUAUAUAAUUUGUAUGAAUAAGCUAGUACGAAUAAAACUAAUUGUGCUGAUUUAUUUGACAUAUAUUUGUAUUUUUCUGUAUGAAUAAUGUAGUAAGAUAUAUUCUAUGGAUAUACUAAAUCAUUCGAAACACAGUAAACAGGUAUUAUAGACCCUGUAUUUGGUAACUAAUAAUUUGACGUAUGUGUAAGUGUUAACAUGAUUUUUUUUAUUUAACCGAGAAAUGUAAACUCUAAAGUAUGACGAAGUCGUCCAUACCGAUAUCUAGGUGGUAGACUGAUGAUACAAAUUAUGACUCAAAUCUAUACCAAAGAACUCUCUUUUUCCUCUGCUCUUGUCACUCAUGUUGGUUCAGAUGGUGUUUGUCUAUCCUUUUACCUCCAGACUUCAUAUAUAUAACAAACACACAUGUCUUCAUUAACAAACGAUGAAUCUAAGAAAUAUGUCUGUGACUAACAAUGAUAUAUCAUUAGACACAAAUGCAUGCAACUUUGAAUCCAAAAAGAAACGGGUCCGUGAUUGACACCACAAAAAUUUGAAGCGGACUAUAUGUUAAACCAUACUAAACCAAAGAAGGCUGUAUCUCCCUCCAGAACAUAACCCUAAAUGUAUGACAGGAAACUUAUAUUUACAGGUUCGUGAUUAACUCUGUGAGAAUCUCCUACUCAUGUCACGGUUAUCAUGCAUGUGGCAACUGGUAAACGUAAAACAAAACUUGUAAAUGGUCAAGUGCCUUUCCUAUCGAAACUGGUGUACCACUUAAAGAAGGGCAAUAGAGGUGGUUAGUUGUGUACUUAAGAAAAAAACAAAGAAUAUUACUGCUUAAAGAUAAUUUUAGACAAUAGUUCAGAAAAAAAUAGAAGAAGAUAACUGUAAACCUUCAGCCAAAAAAAAAAGAUAACUGUAAACCUCGAUUGUGAAACCUAAGCAAAGCAAAGCUCUAAGCCUUUAACGUAACGAUACAAACAAACUCCUUGGUUCUUACGAAAAGAUGAGAAAGGGAAUUCAAGUAUCAAGACGUUCCAUCAACCU